CCCUUAGAUGUCCUGGGCCGCACGCGCGUUACACUGAUGCAUUCAACGAGCUUAUAACCUUGGCCGAGAGGCCUGGGCAAUCUUGUUAACGUGCAUCGUGAUAGGGAUAGAUUAUUGAAAUUAUUAAUCUUGAACGAGGAAUUCCUAGUAAACGCAGAUCAUCAAUCUGCAUUGAUUACGUCCCUGCCCUUUGUACACACCGCCCGUCGCACCUACCGAUUGGAUGGUCCGGUGAAGCCUCGGGAUUGUGGUUCUUGCCGCUUUAUUGUGGCGUGACCGCGAGAACUUGUCUAAACCUUAUCAUCUAGAGGAAGGUGAAGUCGUAGCA
rnacentral:rRNA from 1 species